GCCGCGGUGGCGGAAUUGGCAGACGCGCUGGACUUAGAAUCCAGUCUUGAGAAAGGUGGGAGUUCGACUCUCCCCCGCGGCA
rnacentral:tRNA from 1 species